rnacentral:rRNA from 1 species
AGAAUCAACGCUGGCGGCGUGCCUCAGACAUGCAAGUCGAACGCGAAAGUUCCCUUCGGGGGGCAAGUAGAGUGGCGCACGGGUGAGUAACACGUAGGUAAUCUACCUUUGGAUGGGGAAUAACAACCGGAAACGGUUGCUAAUACCGCAUAAUGCAGCGGCACCUAAUGGUGACAGUUGUUAAAGCGGGGGAUCGAAAGACCUCGCGUCUGAAGAGGAGCCUGCGGCGGAUUAGCUAGUUGGUAGGUAACGGCCUACCAAGGCUACGAUCCGUA